GUAGCCUACCUCAGCAGUGAGUGGUAGCCUAUUGUGGAGAGGAGACUCAUUCUGGACCCAUCAUACCACGAUGCUCAGCUAGAAUCGAUUGAAGACUUGACCAGGGGGUGGUGAAGUUGCAUGCAAAAAGGAAUAUUGAUUGUUGAUAAGACCAGCAUGUAUUUUGGUAACGUCUGUCAGACCGCUACCCUGCCUUCAUUGGACUUUGGGCCUCCUGUGGGAGGAGUCCACCAAUCCAUGGCGCUGAAGCCCCUCCUCCCGCUCAGCCUGUUCCAUGGUUUCACUGAAAUGGACCGUGAUCACAAAUCCCAUUUUGGUCCAGGAUUUGGACUAACCACGCCCUUUAUGAGGAAACCCAGCUCAUCGUGUGUCGUUUGCCGACUGAGGUUCAACUCAGAGAGCCAGGCCUCAUCCCAUUACAAUGGUACCAAACACUUCAAGAGGCUCAAAGCCCUCGACCCACUGGACUGCAAGACCAGAGCCCCCGACACAGUAUCCAAGGAAACCACGACCAAGAGCGUAUCACCCUGCCUUGUGCCGCCCAGCUCAGAACCCAGUUCAACAGAUGUCACAGCCGGAGCCGUGUUGUCACCACCCUCUGCCUCUAGGGUGGUUCCAUCGACCUGCAGCCCAUCUGUAUCCAUGGAAAUGCCCUCUGACCCCUCUCUGUCACUCUGUCCCCUGGUGGAGAAGGAGAUGGAGGGAGAGGUGGAGGAGGUUGUGGAGUCGGAGGAAAAGAAGGCUAAGAGACUACUAUACUGUUCUCUCUGCAAGGUGGCGGUCAACUCUGCAUCCCAGCUACAGGCUCACAACAGUGGCACGAAACACAAGACAAUGCUGGAGGCCAGGAGCGGCGACGGAGCCAUAAAGUCAUUCCCCAGGUCAGGGGUCAAAGCCAAGCUGGCCACUCCCACUCAGGUGUCGACUGGGCUGCAGAACAAAACUUUCCACUGUGAGGUCUGCGAUGUGCACGUCAACUCCGAGACACAACUCAAACAGCACAUCAGCAGUAGAAGGCAUAAAGACCGUGCAGCAGGGAAGCCAGCCAAGCCCAAGUUUAGCCCCUAUGGUCUGCCUCCUCAACGCAACCAGAAUCUGCAGACAGGGGAAGAUGGAGUGCAGACCAGGGGAAGCUUGGGCGGGUUGCAGGAAACCAGGUGCGGAGGCUGAGGCUGGAGCAAGAGGGGUUGGAACAGAGCUGGCAACGUGAUGCCGAUGAUCCUGAAGAACGUGCAGAUCAACAACAAAGCCCUGGCUCUGGCCCUGCAGGCAGAGAAGGAGAAGGUGACGCAGGCCAACGGUAUCAUCCUGCAGAUGAAGAGGGAACAGCAGGCUCUCUUCCUCCCCUGCUCAAGAGGCUCAAAGACCAGGAGAUGCAGGCAAGCAAUGUACAGACUGGACCUGCACAGCUCCCUGCUGAACCACCAAAGCCAGUGGACUCCUCCAGGAGAAUUCAAAGUCGUGCUGCUCUGGAAGAUCUUGUAAUGGCCGAAGCCCCACCGUCACCCAUCAGCUCAGGUAUAUGAAAAUUACAUUUACUAACCACAGUUCCCCUACAGAACCUCUCAUACCGGAAGAGACAGAGGUCCUAGUGGAGAGCCUGGUUCUAAACAACAGAAGAGGCCAGAAUCCCAUACAGGAGUGAAGACCGAGAAAGGCAAUCCAAUUGGCUCAGAGGAGUUCCAGCAGCACUCCACCCUAGGGCCACCAGCUAAACCAGCCAAUCAGCAGCAGCAACCCCGGGCACAACCGAAACAGGCCCAGCCACCGCGGCCCAAACCCGAACUGGAGAGGGGCCACAAACCAGACCUCCAAAACGACUGUUGUCACGUGGUGAGCAGUGAACAACAUACAAAUUUCUACAUUGCUGUUAUAGGAAAGGAUAGGCUUUGACAGCGAUUCUCAACUGGUGGGUCACGGGUGUCUGAGUAAAAUGUUUAUUUUUUUAAAUGUAUUUUACUAAUUUUGGGCGGUGAUUUUUUUUUUUACUCUAGUCUAAACUUAAAUGACUAAUACAAGGUAGAGAAUGUGUAGAUAUUAUAAUGAACCUAAAAAAUAUAUAUAAUUGAAACUCUUUUCUUCUUCAAUCAUAGUUUUUUCAAUGUAGAUUUAUUAGCAGUGCUAUAUAGCAGAUUUGGCUGAUUUAGUGGUCUCAAACCAGUGAGCUUACCAACAUCCUUCAUCAACAAUAUGAGCAAUAUGGAGUUAUUGACAAUUAAAAAGGUAGGAAUGUUGUUCCCUUGUCAUAUAAUUGCCACUGUCAAUAUAGCAUUUAUUUUUACAGAUAGCAUUUCAGCAAAAUAAUAUUACGAUGCGAAUAUUGGGUCACGACUGAGAACCUUGUUUAACUUUGGUUUCGAUGCAAAGCCAGUUGAGAAACACUUGGCUAUAUAUUGUGUCUAUAUUGUUUCUGGUGCUAAACUCCCUGUGUCUAUCCAGUCAGAAGCUGGAUAGAAGCGUCUGCUAAAUGGCAUAUAUUAUUAUUAUUAUAUAUUAUUAUUGGUAUAUAGAAGAGUAGAGCCCUGUCCUACAGCUGGGCCCGCUGAGGUCCAUGAGAUAGAACACCAAAUCCCAGAAGUCCCUGGGAGUGUCUUUGUUGACAGACAGUCCUGUUCCAAUGACAGAGCAAUGUCUUGAGAGUCACACAGAGCACCACAGAGUGGAUGGUGAGGAGGCUCUGCUUCCUGUCACUCCAGGACUGCAGGAGGAGAUGAUGAGGAUCGACAACGUCCUGCCUGUUUUCAGGGUCUCCCCUUGUGAGCCUCCUGGUCCUGGCUUAUCGACAAGCAGCACGCCCCAGAACCACACUGCACUGAUCCCCAAAACAUGCAGGAGGACAGGUGGGCAUGGUGUCAGAGCUAGGCGGGGUUUCAGUCUGAUUGAUGUGACCAAUAUUACCCCUGCAGCCUAUCGGAAGUUCUCUAAAGAGCUCCCGCCCUUCAGACCGAUGCUCCAUCUCCGCCCGCAAGAUGAGGUCCACGAUAACAGUGGACUACAAAGAGCUGUCGCUGCACGCGAAACUGAGGCGUGGAGACAAGUUCACAGACACCAAGUUCCUCCGCUCUCCCAUCUUCAAACAGAAACCCAGGAAGUCCAUGAAGACCCAGCCGUCGUUGCUGGAGAAAUACAAUAAGUCUGUUGUGGGAUGUCACUAACAUGUGCUUUGUGUCCACACAUUGAACACACGUUUUACCCAUUCAAAUCUGUUUGAGAGUUAGUUUGGCACCUGAGUUUGUGGUAAAUUAUUUUAAUAGUUUUUUUGUCCAAUGAAAUAAUGUAAGGCAGCUUUAAUUGUGGUUCAUUUCUUAGUUCAUUCUUUGUUCUUAUCAGUAGGCUGAAUUUAGCCAAAUCAUCAGGGGCAUUGGAGAUGUUCAAGUAUAUCUCCCCAAAAUCUAUAUUCUCUCCAUCUCCCCGUUUCGUGAUGCCUGUAUUGAUUGUUAGCCACCUGUAGAGGGCGAUGUUAGAACAGCAUUCUGCCGGACGACAUGUUCCUCAUGUACUGUAUGGUUGUGUUCAGUCAUUUCACUGUUGUUCAUAUAUGUUCUGCUUGCUUUUUCUAGAACUUUGAAUAUUCAUUUGCCACACGCCGCUGUUUUCAUGUGUAAGAUGUUUUGGUUUUAUGAAUAAACAUUCAGGUAUA